CAGGUCUACAUCAGUCAAGCACACUGAUGCUUUUUUUUCUUGGUAUAAACGGCUGGCCAGUUGUUUCCAUCAUCCAGAGGCUUCCUCUAUUUAAAUAUUCUCCUCUGAAUUUGAUCAUGAUAUGAACUGUGGCAACCACAUCUAGAAUUAUGUUCCUAUUUUUGGAGUGAUAUGAAACUAUCAAAACACUAGGAAUCACUAGAAAUAAAGGAUCAGUUUACAGCCAACUCUUAACUCCAUAUCAAGAUGAAGUCUGAUUAAGCAGUUGACUAAUUGUGUGCACAGUCUGGCCGGUUGCCCGCAGCAUUCUACCUGCUGCGCUGGGAAAGGCUGAGCCUCCAUGGAGAAAAAGAGGCGCCAUUGUAUAGAACACUCUCCCAUGCGCAAGCUCCAAGAGACUUCAUGCCAGGCAGAGGACACAGGAUAUGCUGAUAAUUAAGUGUCCAAGAUGGAUGGAGCACCACAGAAAUUCACUGAAGGCUGCUAGCCAGGAGACUCAAGAAGGAAUUGUUAAAAGAGAGAACUAUCCAAACAUUGUCCUCUCCCUUUGGAGCCUAAACAGGAAAGAAAACUCUUAGCCCAGAAGAAGCUAGCUCCUUCUACCAGAGCUGUCUGAAAGAAAGGAAACUGCAGCCUGAGAUAGUGAGACCAGGAGAGGUGCUCAAGCAUAAGAAGAACAAAUGCUUGGCAAGGAAGUAUCACCAGGAGGCCUCAAGCAUCAGGUUAUGCUUCAAAAAAAGAAAAAAAAGAUUUUAGGGAAGAAAAUGAAUAUGUGCUCUGGUACUAGAUUGGGUACAAAUCCCGGCUCUCUUCCCCCCAGAUGAAGGACCUUGCCUGAGUUACGUAACUGUGCUCCAAUUGCCUCAUCUGUGAGAGGAAAAUACUAAUAGCAUCUGUUUCCUAAGUUGUUGUGAGAAAUACAUUACUCAGUUGAAGCUCUAAGAGUGCUUAUACCUGUGUGCUCAAUAAAUAUUGGCUUAUGUUGUUG
ensembl:lncRNA